GACGAACCGUGCGAACGUUAUUCGGAAUCACUGGGCUUAAAGCGCGUGUAGGCGGGCCGCCCCGUCGGCUGCUGAAAUCCCCCGGCUCAACCGGGGAAGUGGCACCGAUACGAGCGGCCUCGAGGGGGGUAGGGGGGUCUGGAACUUCCGGUGGAGCGGUGAAAUGCGUUGAGAUCGGAAGGAACGCCCGUGGCGAAAGCGAGGCCCUGGACCCUUACUGACGCUGAGACGCGAAAGCCAGGGGAGCGAACGGGAUUAGAUACCCCGGUAGUCCUGGCCGUAAACGAUGAACACUGGGUAGGGGGCUCGCCGAUGGGCUCCCUGCCGUAGGGAAACCGUGAAGUGUUCCGCCUGGGGAGUAUGGUCGCAAGGCUGAA
rnacentral:rRNA from 1 species